rnacentral:sRNA from 1 species
AAUAAGCUUGCGUUAGGGAUUGAAACGGCAUCCUUUUGUGUUUACAAAAGAUAGAGUGUAAAGCCCGACUUUUA